rnacentral:rRNA from 1 species
CCCUUAGAUGUUCUGGGCCGCACGCGCGCUACACUGACGCAUUCAACGAGUCUAAAACCUGGUCUGAUAGGGCUGGGUAAUCUUUUGAAUGUGCGUCGCGAUUGGGAUAAAUGAUUGUAAUUCUUCAUUUUCAACGAGGAAUGCCUAGUAAACGCAAGUCAUCAGCUUGCAUUGAUUACGUCCCUGCCCUUUGUACACACCGCCCGUCGCUCCUACCGAUUGAAUGAUCCGAUGAAUAUCAUGGACUGAGAGUGUUAGAGUUUUCGGACUUCUACACUUCUCGGGAAGUGAAGUGAAUCUUAUCAUUUAGAGGAAGGAGAAGUCGUAACA